GAUGAACGCUGGCGGCGUGCCUAAUACGUGCAAGUCGAGCGAACGGACGAGACGCUUGCUUCUCUCAUGUAAGCGGCGGACGGGUGAGUAACACGUGGAUAACCUACCUGUAAGACUGGGAUAACUUCGGGAAACCGGCGCUAAUACCUGAUAAUAUUUUGAUCCGCAUGGUUAAAAAGUGAAAGACGGUCUUGCUGUCACUUAUAGAUGGAUCCGCGCUGCAUUAGCUAGUUGGUAAGGUAACGGCUUACCAAGGCAGCGAUGCAUAGCCGAGCGAAGAGGGUGAUCGGCCACACGGGAAGGAGGACACGCUCCAGACGCCUACGGGAGGCAACAGUAGGGAACCUUCCGCAAUGGGCGAAAGCCUGACGGAGCAACGCCGCGUGAGUGAGGAAGGUCUUCGGAUCGUAAAACUCUGUUAUUAGUGAAGAACAUAUGUGUAAGUAACUGUGCACAUCUUGACGGUACCUAAUCAGAAAGCCACGGCUAACUACGUG
rnacentral:rRNA from 1 species